GUUUGCAGGUUUUCAUGCCUACCAGCGGAUGACCGGCUGUGAGCUGAGAGAUGAUGGCAGUAUCUGGGUAUAUGAUCAGCACGGUUAUGACGGGAAGGAUUUCCUGGCUUUGGAUACCGAGCGCCUGGUUUAUAUUCCGCUCACAGACGAAGCUCAGGUCACAGCACAGAGAUGGAACAGCCCAGAAGAGAGACUGGGGGACUAUCACAAGAAUUACCUGGAGAAUCGAUGCAUAGAAGAACUGAGAAAAUUCCUCCAGUAUGGCAAGGAGGAGCUGGACAGGAGAG